AGGGACUGCCGAACUUGGGACCGGGAGAGGCUAGAGGUACUCCUGGGGUAGGGGUAAAAUCCUGUAAUCCUAGAAGGACCACCGGUGGCGAAGGCGUCUAGCUAGAACGGAUCCGACGGUGAGGGACGAAGCCCUGGGUCGCAAACGGGAUUAGAUACCCCGGUAGUCCAGGGUGUAAACGCUGCAGACUUGGUGUUGGAGGCCCUUUGGGGGCAUCCAGUGCCGGAGAGAAGUUGUUAAGUCUGCUACUUGGGGAGUACGUCCGCAAGGAUGAAACUUAAAGGAAUUGGCGGGGGAGCACCGCAAAACCGGGGAGGAGCGUGCGGUUUAAUUGGAUUCAACACCGUAAAACUCACCAGGGAAGACUGUUACAUGAAGGCCGGGCUAAAGACUCUGCCAGAUUUUCAGAGAAGAGGUGCAUGG
rnacentral:rRNA from 1 species